rnacentral:tRNA from 1 species
GGCUCUUUAGCUCAGUGGUAGAGCAGAGGCCUGAAGAGCCUUGUGUCCCCAGUUCAACCCUGGGAGGAGCCA